CGCAGGCUGUACAGGAAGCAUGGCACCAACAUCUGCCCAGCUCCUAGGGAGGCCUCGGGGAGCUUUUACUCAUGGUGGAGGGUGAAGCAGGAGCAAGUACAUCAUACGGCGAAAGCAAGAGCAAGAAUUCCCCAUUGUGUGAGUUUAGAUGGGAAUCAGGGCACCCAAAAGGACUUAACAUUCUCUCUCUGCGCAAAGUAGUAUGACCAUUUCAGAUGCGCCUGCUCAGGAUUUUGAAUCUGGUGUGCCAAGAUGGAAGAACAUUGACUGAUUGCUCAUAACAGUGGUAGCUGGUCCACGAUGGUCCACCAAUUACGGUAGCUAGUAUCACAUGGGACAAAAUGAGCAAAGAAGUCAAACCAACUUCCUGCUGGGUGACCUUGGCCACAUUCUCUGCUGCCUAGUGUCCUUCCACUCCUUCUGGUCACCGAAGCCUGCUUUUACAUCCUUCC
rnacentral:lncRNA from 1 species